rnacentral:rRNA from 1 species
GACGAACGCUGGCGGCGUGCUUAACACAUGCAAGUCGAACGGUGAAAGCGGAGCUUGCUCCGCUGGAUCAGUGGCGAACGGGUGAGUAACACGUGGGCAACCUGCCCCUCACUUCGGGAUAACUCCGGGAAACCGGGGCUAAUACCGGAUAUGACCUCCUUGGGCAUCCUUGGAGGUGGAAAGUUUUUCGGUGAGGGAUGGGCCCGCGGCCUAUCAGCUUGUUGGUGAGGUAGUGGCUCACCAAGGCGACGACGGGUAGCCGGCCUGAGAGGGCGACCGGGCACACUGGGACUGAGACACGGCCCAGAGUCCUACGGGAGGCAGCAGGGGGGAAUAUUGCGCAAUGGGCGAAAGCCUGACGCAGCAACGCCGCGUGCGGGAUGACGGCCUUCGGGUUGUAAACCGCUUUCAGCAGGGAAGAAGCCGCAAGGUGACGGUACCUGCAGAAGAAGCACCGGCUAACUACGUGCCAGCCGCCGCGGUAA